GUUUGAUGGGAAAUUGUGACAUUCCAAGUUGACUUUUUUUUUUAUCUGAAUUAAAAUUUGAAACUCUGACCACACUCAGCACCCUCUUGUCCCUAUCACUGGGGUUGUUUGACCCUUCAUCUCCUUUUUCCUUCUGCUUUGUGUUUGGGGUGCCCUUCACUUAGUUGCCUUACUAGCCGGCUGAUGGCAGGUGAGUGUGAGUGUUAGGGCAGGGGCUGUCUCAUGAAAGGGACAGUUGCACAUCAUCCUACAUCAGUGGAAUGACUCCUCUCCUGGAUCUGGGGACAGCAUAUACUUCUUCCCCAGCUCAGUCAUGGGUGAACGUCACCUCCUGAGAUGGUCACCUCAGAGAAGGAACACGGUUGGUUACUGAGGGAGCCAGGCUCUGCCAACAAACUGUAGGCCUUUUGUUGUGUAGUAUUUUUGUUUUUUAAAUAAAAGUAUAGUAUAAAUUUUCCUAUUAAAUAAGAUUAUUUUAAGUUUUACUGUCAAAAUUGCAAUGCCCAUUGUAGGUAAGGGUGUACUAUACAGAUUUGGAGAUGGUAAGGUGGUGACAUUUAACACAAUUACACUGUCUUUUUUCAGGUUAUGGGUAUAUAUCCUCUAUUAGUAUCAUAUCUUUUUCAUUCCACUUUAGGAAACACAGUUACCAGUUAUAAGUAGAGAGAGAGAGAGAGAGAAAGACAAGUUCUAGUCUGCCUCUACCCCACACAUACCACUUCUUUGUCCAGGGGUUUGACAGAAUAGCAGGCCCGGAAGACAGUUGAGGAGAUGGGUGUCAAGUUUCCUCUGGGUAGAUUUCAUUCCCCGGCAUCCUUCCCCUGUGCUGACAGGGAGCAGAAGGCGCAACGCUUUCCAUGGUGUGGGGCAGAAGGAGCCGAGGUCAGCAAGCCAGUGGUUCUUAAGAGGUAAACCUCUGACUUACUGUUGGAAGUUGUCUCUUUCAACCUCAGAGUCUCCUAAUAUGGCGCUCCUGAUCUACCCUGCUCAAUGCUCUCCCGUAUGUACACCCCAGCCUCUUUCCCAAGAAGUCUCUGGCCAUUCUCAGUCCCUGUGUGAUCAGCCUCCCUCCUACCCGGACAGACUUGAGGUGAGGCCUAAGUAUGAGGCACCUGAAGUUAACCUGUAGAUAAAACCAUUGGCAGAACCACGGCCCCAGGUGGCUGUUGAGGUCUUGGCGAGAAGUCCUGGGCAAGGAAGGUCUUUCGUAAAGUCACAUCAUUGGAGAGCCGUUUUUGCGCUUUCAAUAAGCUAUAGCUUUGUUUCUUUCUCCUGUUCACUUACUGUAUAAUUUAAAGUCAUUUAUGUAGCUGAG
rnacentral:lncRNA from 1 species